UACGGGGGGGGCAAGCGUUGUUCGGAAUUACUGGGCGUAAAGGGCUCGUAGGCGGCCAACUAAGUCAGACGUGAAAUCCCUCGGCUUAACCGGGGAACUGCGUCUGAUACUGGAUGGCUUGAGUUCGGGAGAGGGAUGCGGAAUUCCAGGUGUAGCGGUGAAAUGCGUAGAGAUCAUGAGGAAGACCAGUGGCGAAGGCGGGUCUCUGGACAGUUCCUGACACUGAGACACGAAGGCCAGGGGAGCAAACGGG
rnacentral:rRNA from 1 species